UACGGAGGGGGCUAGCGUUGUUCGGAAUUACUGGGCGUAAAGGGCGCGUAGGCGGCCACCGCAAGUCGACUGUGAAAUCUCCGGGCUUAACUCGGAAAGGUCAGCCGAUACUGCGGGGCUAGAGUGCAGAAGGGGCAACUGGAAUUCUCGGUGUAGCGGUGAAAUGCGUAGAUAUCGAGAGGAACACCUGCGGCGAAGGCGGGUUGCUGGGCUGACACUGACGCUGAGACGCGAAAGCGUGGGGAGCAAACAGG
rnacentral:rRNA from 1 species